GUUAUAAAAGUUUCAGACAAACAACUAAUCUUGUAAAUUAGUAAGGAAAGUUAAAUUCUUUCUUAUAACU
rnacentral:tRNA from 1 species